ACUUAGUGGAAAACCUGCUCUGAGUUUGAGGAGGAUAAAUUGUAUUCUAUGGGAAUCAAAUAGGUGUGAAUACCUGUGUUCAGGCCAAAUUUGGUCUUUGUAAUACAUGUAAUCAGCUCUAAAGAGGCUUUAGAGGGAUCUACACUAUCACAAAGUGAAUUAAAUUUAUGCCAUGGGGCGGAUAACUUAUUAUCAUAGAUAACAAAUAAUGUAUUACCAUAAAGAACUCAUUCUGGCUGCUCUUUUGAGCCCCCCUGCUGCUAACAACAGCCUCUGUGCUACAGCAUCCUUUGUGGCUCUGCAUUGGUAACAGCUCUGGGAUAGAGCAUCCCCCUCGCUCCCACACUGUUUGCUAGUGAUGAGAAGUUGUUUGUUUGAUGACUGACACAGCCGGUAUGGAGUGUAUUGUGACAACAGUGCAAUGAUGGAUCUGACAAGUCCCAAGACAUCCUAUCCGUGGAACAUGGAUCUUUCAUGGUCUGGCUUCACUGUGUUGGAGCAUGGAGGCCAGAAUGCCUGAGCAGAGCUGCAUGAAGGAAUGGGCAGGAGUGGACCUUGGAGACAACAACUUGCAAGGGGCAGCAGAACAGAGCUGGCGGCAGAAGCCCUUGCCAGCAACUGGAGAGUUUUACUGCAUUCUCAGGCUGGAGGAACAUUUUUGGAUGGAUGCGGGAGUGAAACAAGACCCGGGCUGUGUGAGUCACGGCGCAGACGUGCUCUCUAUUCCAAAGGGACAGCUGGUGGCACUAACAAAACAUCUCCCCGGAUACACUGCCUGGCAGCAAUCCCCCUCC